rnacentral:tRNA from 1 species
GCCUGGCUAACUCAAUUGGCAGAGUGUCAGACUCUUAUCAUCUAAGUUUGAUUUGAAGGUUACUUCAAGUGAUCUGAAAGCUGCGGGUUCGACCCCCGCGUCGGGCU